GUCUACUGGCAUAUCACCCUGAAUGUGCCCACCUCAUCUGAUUUCAGAAGCUAGGCAGGGUCAGGCCUGGUUAGUACUGGAGGGGGUAAAUAUGUAAUACAUGGUAAAAGGAGAAA
rnacentral:rRNA from 1 species